UACGUAGGGGGCGAGCGUUAUCCGGAAUUAUUGGGCGUAAAGGGCAUGCAGGCGGUCUGCCAAGUUCAGACUAAAAAUUCUCGGCUUAACCGGGAGAGAGGUGUGAAGACUGGCAGACUUGAGAGCGAGAGAGGGACACGGAAUUCCAGGUGGAGCGGUGAAAUGCGUAGAGAUCUGGAAGAACACCAAAGGCGAAGGCAGUGUUCUGGCUCGUCUCUGACGCUCAGAUGCGAAAGCCAGGGGAG
rnacentral:rRNA from 1 species